AAUUAAUGAACUUGUAAAGUGUUUACUUUGAAAGUAAAAAAAAGAGAUAAAAUUCUCUAUUAAUUU
rnacentral:tRNA from 1 species